UAUAUAUAUAUAUAUGUUUCCCUCCCCGCCUUUCCUGGUUUCUCUUGACUACACACAAUGGCAAAGCAAAAAUGGAAAACUUGAAAAAAAAAAAAAAACUUGCCAGCAUUUCUGUGAUUCAGCUGGCAAUUUGCUAUGGUAUCCAGGGAGACAGCUUCUCACAUACAUUAGCAUAAUGUGAAAUGGCAGCUAGAACCAGAAUUUACUGUCUAAGCAACUCAGCCUGAACAGUCGUUCACAACAAUGCAAUUUAAAGGAAAGCCAAACAUUAGGCUUAAAUGACUGAUACAGCCCUGAAAUCUCUUCAUUUUAAACAUAUGGGGUCCAGCUUCUUCCCUCAUUUUUACUCUGUAUGCUUGGGGCAGUUGGCUGGGACUCAGGGUUAACAAAGGAAGAUAUUGUGGCUACUUCAGACCCAAUAUAGCGUUCAGCUGGUAUCAGCUCACUCCAGGUCUUUAUCAUCAAAAUGCAUUUUCUUUCCCUUUUGAUUUUUUUGAGACUUUCCAUUUCCAUUGGAAUCCAAAUGCUGACAUUUCUUCUUCCUGUAUUUUCCCCGUGAGCCUUGACAUAGGAAUGUACCUCCUUGCUUCCCAGUUAUCUGGACACCAAACCACUGCAGAUAGCAGCACAACCUUGAAAAGGAGCUUUGUUCCUAAGUAGAGGGGCCCAGCAAGCUGAGGGAAGACAGGGCGUGAUUCCUGAGGAUUUCAGACGUUGUUGUAGCCAAAAUGCUUACUGACCUCUGGCUUCCCUGGGCAUUCCUCUGGCUCCUUCUCCACCACCACCCCCUUCUUCUGCCCAUAUAAUUUCUUCUCUUGGGUUGAGGACCAGACUCAGUGGAAUAGUGGCUAUAACAUUUUCCAGGCUGAUGGGAUACAUGGGCAUAGGUGGCAGUUUCCCAGGUACAGGCUUCCACAUGUUGUUCCUUCCAAUCUACCACCUUCCAUUGCUAUUUAUGCCAGACUUAGAAAUCCCAAAUAACCCAGAGGUAAGACCUCUCCCAUGUUGUACAUGAGGAUGAGAGGACAGAGUGAAAACUGGGGUAGGGGAAGGUCUGUCUGUACACAUUAAUCAGGGAGGGCCGAUCAUUGAGACUACACAAGGACCUGGAAGUGAAAGCAGAGUAACAAUUUUAGGCUUUCAGACUUGCCUUAUGAUGAUGACAGGCGAUGGCCCAAGGAUGUGGUUUUUCAGUUUCCUGGAAACUUCCUGGUACAUACUGGAACCUGGCUGCCCAUCUGCAGGGAUUUUCCCAAUGGCCUCUGCAAUGUUAGAGGAACAGCCCACAAGACAGCCCUCAUCUCUGACACCAAUUGCAAGUUUAGAGGUCCCCAGAACCAUUCUUACUUUCUGUAAUUCUGUAGAAGGAUGCAUAGCAUGUACCAAAAGUUGUUUUUUACAUGGUACAGUUUAUUAUAGUUAAAUAAUACAGAUUAAAAUUAGCCAAGGGAAGUGGCACAUAGGGAAGAAUUCAGGAUAAUUCUACAUGUGGAACUUCUGUUUUCCUCUUCCCUUGGAGUCACGGAGAGUGUUACUCUUUUGGCAUCAACAUGACAGUAUGCACGGAGCAUUGCCAACCAGGGAACACACCUGAGCCUAGGUAUUCAGAUUAUUUUGAUGGGGGGCUCCAUCACAUAAGUGAGGCUGAUUCUACUCUCCAGUCCAAUCUUCAGCUGGAGGUUGAGCUGCCUCAGCAAGACCCAAAGUCCCUACUGUGUCACAUUGUCACAUCAUACUAACUUGUAUGACCCAAGGUCCUAGGCAAACCAAGACACUCCUUUCAGGACUUGACAUUCCAAGAGCUUAGAGAUGACCUCCCAGAAAGAAGCCCAGGGCAAAGGCCAGACUCUCUUUGGGUAAGGUUAAUUCUUUUCUACACAGCCUCUCUUUGCUUGCCUGUAUCUUCUGUGGGGUUUCUCAUGCCAGCUGCAGAAAUGUGUUCCACUGAGGUGGGUUGUUCUGGAGCUGUAGAAGGCAGUUGGCAGUAGUGAAAAUGGAGGUGAGAGAACCACAGACGAGGGAGGAGGCGAGGAAAUAGCUGUAGUUGGCAAGGAAGGGGAUCUGCUAUGAAGAAGUAUGCCGAAAGCUUACGUAUGAAUAGACUGGGAGACAUGAAACCCAAUGGAUUUAUUGGUAAGUGAAAUACUGUUUUAGGUUGUGAUUUACUCUUUCAUUUUGUCCAUCAGGUGGGUGUUAAACUGAGGAUAAAUAUAUCUUAACCUUUAGGAGUGAGAACUAGUUUUGCCAAAAAGGCAAGAUGCAGCAGGGUCACAGUUAGAAAUAACUUGCUCUGGAGUCAGUGGAGGUUUUGCUUUUGUUGUAUAUCCGUAUAGGCAGUAGAGAUACCACGUUGCAUGGGAGGAAAUGGACUCUGUUUUGCGAGCGUGUCAAUAGUAAUGACUAUUAUGAUGAUAAAUAAUAAAGGCUGCCAUUUAUAGAGUGCUUCCAAGCACCAAGCAUUGUUAAAUUAUGUACCAACAUUAUCACAUUUAAUUAUUUGAAUAUCACGAAUGGGGUAGAUAUUAUUCUCUGAGUUUUAUACAUAUGAAAAUUAAGCUUCUGAGUGGUCAAACAAUUAGCUUAAAUACUCACAGGUAACAAAGCCGGGAUUCAAACCUAGAUCUUUCUGACUUUAUACUCAACCUGCUGCAAGUCCCCGUGAGGGACAUGUUUAACACGACUUUGCAGGUAGAGAUAAACCUCUGGUUUCCUAGUUUGGUCUUUCAUGUGUUUAUUUCAAGAGUGCCUUCACAACUGUGUAUCUGCUAAGACUGAGGCUGGGUGCACCAAGAGCCUCAGUCUUGAAAGGCCUUGAAUGGGACCAUAAUGAUUGGGUGGGGUGGGACAGGGCUGAGUUUCAUGGCUUCAGGGCAGUGGUGAAGACUUUACCUCAAGGGACUCCCUAGCUCACAGGGUGAGGUUGCAUGUUCAGACCUGUUCAUCUACACCAGGAAGGAGAUGGUUUAUAUUUGCUCCUGGGAGAAGGGAUCUUUCCAGGAUGGGACUCACAGAUUAAGAAUAUUAAACAGAUAGGAAUAGGCAGUGUUGCAAUUCUCUAAGGCUGUCUCAUUAAUUAUUCUGUCUCCAGCAUCUAGCACAGUACAUAGCACCCUGGAUAGGGUUAGUGAAUAUUUGCCGAAUAACCAAGUGGGUAGAUACACAAGGCAGUUAGGUGGGGCACAUCUCUUUUGGGAUUGGGUUGGGUGAGGAACAAAGAAGGAAAAUCAGCUUUCCCACCACCAUGUAUGUUUUCAAAAGGCUUCCAAGUACUUUCAAAAUAACACUUGACAUUUGUAGUUUAAGGUAAACUGUAUAGUUUAAGGUGUUUUCAUGUACAUCCUUCGGGACUUGCUGAAGGCCACGUAACUCACAGAGAACCGAGAUCUUGUUUCUUUGGAGAGGCAUUGUGACAAAAGGUCUGGGUUUCCCCAGCUGAAGGCUCUUUGCUAGCUGGGCUAAAGCUCACCCUCAUUCACCAGCAUUGAAUGUGAUGCCUGGCUAAGGGACCAGAGUUCCCCGUGAGCUUGUCCUGAGUGGUGGAAUUCCUCCUGCUCACCAUCUAGCCUAUGCUGGAACACAUCAACUCUCCUGGCAGCAGAGACCUUAACCCAGAGGCUGUUCAGGGACUAGAUGAGAAAAUGUCUCUUAAAGACCCUCUUAAAUGCCUUAAGAAAAAUACUGAAAUUUGAAGCCCCAAAAGGUGCUAUAGCCUUGAGCAGCCCCUCUUCUGGUGUGACUCCUUGGGACUUCCCUCUAUGGGGGAGGAUCAUUGCAUUCAUCUUCCAGGCUCCUUCAGAAGCCACCUGGACCAUGAUUAGUAACUGCCUUGCUCAGCGGCCAAGGCAUGCCUGAGGCUGGACACCUCACCCCACUGACUCUGGAACAUUGAGUAGAGAGAGAAGCCUCAUUUCUGGUGCCCAUCAAUUAUCUGUUAGUAACUCAGAAUCCUGGGUAUAACUGCUUUCCCAACAAAUGUGCACUCCGAGCUGUUCAUUCUGGAAAACCCAGUGUCAAUGGAGUGUUCCUGGUGGGUUCAGCUCUGCAUAUUCCCUACCUCAGGAGGAUUAACCAAGGUGUGGUUCCCACAGGCUUUUGGCUUAAGGAAGGCUAUGAGAAUCUCCUAGUAGGCUAGAGACCACCUCUGGAGAUCUUGAGCAAGUCUUGGCCACACCUGUUGCAGCUUCUUUGCAAGCCAUUGGUGCCUUUAGUCUCAGGGGGCCUCGGGACUAAGGAUUACUUGUAUAACGCUGUGGCAUGAAACGGGAGUUAUUAUUUACAGGACAUUUUUUCAGAAAUACUGCAUUUCUGUUGAUUGACGAUGAAGUUGUUACUCACAUGGGAAGCAUUGUUAACUGAGAUAGGAGAGGACACCCAGACCUGGGUUAGGGAGCAUUUUUCAAUGUUCUUACCAGAGUUGAAUUUUCUGAAGAUAUGGCUGGCCUAGAUCCUGAGAGCUGUUCACAAGCCCAUAGGGCCUGCCUCUCAUUUCUCUGAAACCAGACAAUGCUGCUGGGGGCUUUGCCCUUGGUCAGGGUGACAAGAGUAGGUUCCAGGUAUGUCACCUGCCCUUUCCUGCUACCUGAAGAGGUGAGUAUAGAGCGGGAGGAAUGUGACAACACAAAGCAGUCUCCCAUGACAGCCAAUCUGGAGCUAAGAGCUUGUUGGCCAGGGGAAUUCAGCCAACAAGUGAAGCUCUGUAACCUUUCUUGAUUCUGUCUCCUCGUUUCUGGGCCCUCUACUCACCUCAAAUUUCUACGCUUAAUGGCUUUUCCUGUGUAUCCUAACAAGGCAUUAAAUAAUUGUUAAAUUUCUUCCCACUAAAGUAGUAGGAACUUGAGAGAAUCCUACCUAGAAUCCAGCUUUUGCUUUCUUAGAGAUAACUGAAAUGAGAGGACAUUGCCUAAUUCAAAACAAGGCCCAGCCAGUUAUGGAUUUGGGGGCCUUGGUAAUGGAGAAGAUAUUUGAGGGUGACCCUCAUUAGCUCAUCAUAUUGUUGGCUUCCCUCAGCCUCCUCUUCCUCUGCAUUAGGUUGGCCCUGGCUUUGAGUUAACAUCCUCCGGGGCACAGGUUUGGAUGUGGGCAUCCCCAGUUAAUGGACUGACAUUAAGCAUCAGGCUGGAAACCAAGCCAUGUCUGCAGAGAUGCAGGAGUGGCUAUGGAGCCUUGCGUGCUUCAGGCUUCACCGGCACUGCCACAGUCUUCUCUGGGCUUUUCCAGCUUCCUUGCUCCAGCACUUAGGACAUCCGUAUAUUUAAUUUAUGGUAGAUCCCUGUCUAGAACAGCUUUCCUUUAAAAGCCUCUGAAGGGCUCUACUGGCCUGAUUCUCUAUUCCUCAUCAUAUAAUUGGGGGAUGGGGCGACAAAGGGGCCAGGCUGGUAACCAUUUCCUCCUCAGAACAUAGCAGGUGCCUGUGCAGAUGUUCCUUAAAUAUUCUCAUAGUUCACCCUGAAGGUCAGCGUUGGAGCUGAUAAAGGGGCACGAGGCUGAUUCCAGCCCAUUUGUGGCUCUGUCUCCCUUGCCACUCUGCUUGUGUAGAGCUACAGAGUUACAUAGAGCCCAUGCAAGCAUUCUACAAAAAGUUCACGGAAAAUGCAUGUUAUGAAAACUAUGCAAUAGAUUUCAAAAUUUUUUUUGCACCAAACUAAAGUCGCACCAACAUGCAAUAAUAACAUGUUCGAACAGGACCCAGUUUGAAGCACUAAGAAGAAUAAGAUAUUAGUUUGAAAAAAGCCCCUAUCAGAGCAAUAUGUAUUCUGUUAAAAUUGAAGCAAGAACAAGCAUCCAAUUUAUGGUGAAACGUGAGUGGCAGAAUGGUGAAAUCAUUGAUGUUUUAUGAAAAGCUUAUGGGGAAAGUGCCCCAAAGAAAUCAGCAGUUUACAAAUGGAUAACUUGUUUUAAAAGGGUUGAGACAAUGUUAAAGAUGAAGCCUGCGGCAGCAGGUCAUACACAUCAAUUUGUGAGGAAAUAAUUCGUCUUAUUCAUGCUCUAAUUGAAGAGGACCCUCGAUUAACAGCAGAAACAGGAGCCAACACUAGAGACACCUGAACUGGUUCAGCUUAUACAAUUCUGACUGAAAAAUUAAAGUUGAGACAACUUUUCACUCAAUGAGUGCCCAAAUUGUUGCACCCAGAUCGGCUGCAGACAAGAUCGGAGCUUUCGGUGGAAAUUUUAAGCAAGUGGGAUCCAGAUCCUAAAGGAUUUUUUCCAAGAAUUCUAACAGGAGAUGGAACCGUGCUUUACCACUUGAUCUUGAAAACAAAGCACAAUUAAAACAGUUGGGGAGAGAUAGCAUUAGGAGAAAU